AAAUUGAAGAGUUUGAUCAUGGCUCAGAUUGAACGCUGGCGGCAGGCCUAACACAUGCAAGUCGAACGGUAACAGGAAGCAGCUUGCUGCUUUGCUGACGAGUGGCGGACGGGUGAGUAAUGUCUGGGAAACUGCCUGAUGGAGGGGGAUAACUACUGGAAACGGUGGCUAAUACCGCAUAACGUCGCAAGACCAAAGAGGGGGACCUUCGGGCCUCUUGCCAUCAGAUGUGCCCAGAUGGGAUUAGCUUGUUGGUGAGGUAACGGCUCACCAAGGCGACGAUCCCUAGCUGGUCUGAGAGGAUGACCAGCCACACUGGAACUGAGACACGGUCCAGACUCCUACGGGAGGCAGCAGUGGGGAAUAUUGCACAAUGGGCGCAAGCCUGAUGCAGCCAUGCCGCGUGUAUGAAGAAGGCCUUCGGGUUGUAAAGUACUUUCAGCGG
rnacentral:rRNA from 1 species